CCGGCGAUGUCCGAAUGGGGAAACCCAGUGCAAUUCGUUGCACUAUCGUUAACUGAAUACAUAGGUUAACGAGGCGAACCGGGGGAACUGAAACAUCUAAGUACCCCGAGGAAAAGAAAUCAACCGAGAUUCCCCCAGUAGCGGCGAGCGAACGGGGAGCAGCCCAGAGUCUGAAUCAGCUUGUGUGUUAGUGGAACGGUCUGGAAAGUCCGACGGUACAGGGUGAUAGUCCCGUACACCAAAAUGCACAGGCUGUGAACUCGAAGAGUAGGGCGGGACACGUGGUAUCCUGUCUGAAUAUGGGGGGACCAUCCUCCAAGGCUAAAUACUCCUGACUGACCGAUAGUGAACCAGUACCGUGAGGGAAAGGCGAAAAGAACCCCGGCGAGGGGAGUGAAAAAGAACCUGAAACCGUGUACGUACAAGCAGUGGGAGCACCUUCGGGUGUGACUGCGUACCUUUUGUAUAAUGGGUCAGCGACUUAUAUUCUGUAGCAAGGUUAACCGUAUAGGGGAGCCGCAGGGAAACCGAGUCUUAACUGGGCGUUAAGUUGCAGGGUAUAGACCCGAAACCCGGUGAUCUAGCCAUGGGCAGGUUGAAGGUUGGGUAACACUAACUGGAGGACCGAACCGACUAAUGUUGAAAAAUUAGCGGAUGACUUGUGGCUGGGGGUGAAAGGCCAAUCAAACCGGGAGAUAGCUGGUUCUCCCCGAAAGCUAUUUAGGUAGCGCCUCGUGAAUUCAUCUUCGGGGGUAGAGCACUGUUUCGGCUAGGGGGUCAUCCCGACUUACCAACCCGAUGCAAACUACGAAUACCGAAGAAUGUUAUCACGGGAGACACACGGCGGGUGCUAACGUCCGUCGUGAAGAGGGAAACAACCCAGACCGCCAGCUAAGGUCCCAAAGUCAUGGUUAAGUGGGAAACGAUGUGGGAAGGCACAGACAGCCAGGAUGUUGGCUUAGAAGCAGCCAUCAUUUAAAGAAAGCGUAAUAGCUCACUGGUCGAGUCGGCCUGCGCGGAAGAUGUAACGGGGCUAAACCAUGCACCGAAGCUGCGGCAGCGACACUAUGUGUUGUUGGGUAGGGGAGCGUUCUGUAAGCCUGCGAAGGUGACCUGUGAGGGUUGCUGGAGGUAUCAGAAGUGCGAAUGCUGACAUAAGUAACGAUAAAGCGGGUGAAAAGCCCGCUCGCCGGAAGACCAAGGGUUCCUGUCCAACGUUAAUCGGGGCAGGGUGAGUCGACCCCUAAGGCGAGGCCGAAAGGCGUAGUCGAUGGGAAACAGGUUAAUAUUCCUGUACUUGGUGUUACUGCGAAGGGGGGACGGAGAAGGCUAUGUUAGCCGGGCGACGGUUGUCCCGGUUUAAGCAUGUAGGCUGGUUAUCCAGGCAAAUCCGGAUAAUCAAGGCUGAGGUGUGAUGACGAGGCACUACGGUGCUGAAGUAACAAAUGCCCUGCUUCCAGGAAAAGCCUCUAAGCAUCAGGUAACAU
rnacentral:rRNA from 2 species